ACUCCUACGGAGGCAGCAGUGGGAAUCUUGGACAAUGGGGCAACCCUGAUCCAGCCAUGCCGCGUGAGUGAUGAAGGCCCUAGGGUCGUAAAGCUCUUUCGCCUGUGAUGAUAAUGACAGUAGCAGGUAAAGAAACCCCGCUAACUCCGUGCCAGCAGCCGCGGUAAUACGGAGGGGUUAGCGUUGUUCGGAAUUACUGGGCGUAAAGCGCGCGUAGGCGGACUAUUAAGUCAGGGGUGAAAUCCCGGGGCUCAACCCGAACUGCCCUUGAUACUGGUAGUCUUGAGUUCGAGAGAGGUGAGUGGAAUUCCGAGUGUAGAGGUGAAAUUCGUAGAUAUUCGGAGGAACACCAGUGGCGAAGGCGGCUCACUGGCUCGAUACUGACGCUGAGGUGCGAAAGUGUGGGGAGCAAAACAGGAUUAGAUACCCUGAGGCUCUGC
rnacentral:rRNA from 1 species